rnacentral:rRNA from 1 species
UACGUAGGUGGCAAGCGUUAUCCGGAAUUACUGGGCGUAAAGCGCACGCAGGCGGUUGGAUAAGAUUGACGUGAAAGCUUCUGGCUUAACCGGAAGAAGUCGUUGAUGACUGUCCGACUUGAGACGAGGAGAGGGGUGCAGAAUUCCCGGUGUAGUGGUGGAAUGCGUAGAGAUCGGGAGGAAUACCAGUGGCGAAAGCGGCACCCUGGCCUUAGUCUGACGCUCAGGUGCGAAAGCGUGGGGAGCGAACGGGAUUAGAUACCCCGGUAGUCCACGCCAUAAACGAUGAACACUAGGUGUAGGUGGUGUCAAAACCAUCGGUACCGUAGCUAACGCGAUAAGUGUUCCGCCUGGGGAGUACGACCGCAAGGUUA